UACGAAGGGGGCUAGCGUUGCUCGGAAUUACUGGGCGUAAAGGGCGCGUAGGCGGGUCGUUUAGUUAGAGGUGAAAGCCCAGGGCUCAACCCUGGAAUUGCCUUUAAUACUGGCGGCCUUGAGUAUGGCAGAGGUGUGUGGAACUCCGAGUGUAGAGGUGAAAUUCGUAGAUAUUCGGAAGAACACCAGUGGCGAAGGCGACACACUGGGCCAUUACUGACGCUGAGGCACGAAAAGCGUGGGGGAGCCAAAACAGGG
rnacentral:rRNA from 1 species